CCUACGGGAGGCAGCAGUGAGGAAUAUUGGUCAAUGGACGCGAGCCUGAACCAGCCAAGUCGCGUGAGGGACGACGGUCCUAUGGAUUGUAAACCUCUUUUGUCGGGGUACACACGCUCCCACGGGUGGGCGGGUGAGUGUAGCCGAAGAAAAAGCAUCGGCUAACUCCGUGCCAGCAGCCGCGGUAAUACUGAGGAUGCAAGCGUUAUCCGGAUUUAUUGGGUUAAAAGGGUGCGUAGGCGGACAGUAAAGUCAGCGGUAAAAAUGGGGUGCCCAACGCCGUACAGCCGUUGAAACUGGGAGUCUAGAGUGGGCGAGAAGUAAGUGGAAUGAGUGGUGUAGCGGUGAAAUGCAUAGAUAUCACGCAGAACCUCGAUUGCGAAGGCAGCAUACCGGCGCACUACUGACGCUGAGGCACGAAAGCGUGGGUAGCGAACAGGAUUAGAUACCCGAGUAGUC
rnacentral:rRNA from 1 species